ACGACCUUACUUGAACAUGAUCUGUUAUAUAGGCUCGUACCUCAGUAUCCUUGAUUUCUAAGGAGACGAGAAACCAAGUCUGGUGGAUGAACUUGAACCAUGGUUACUUGACCCGAGGAGUGUGAUUAACUUAACCUUGUUGUAGCUGAAGUGUGCCCAUGGUAUAGUAGAGGAUAGUUCUUAGUUCACUUUGUUGAGCUGUGUGGUCAAGUAGCUUUCUUAACAGACU